CGAGCCGGCCGGGCGGCCGCGGGUCCGGUUCCGCCGGGCCUGAGGAAAGUCCGGACUCCGCAGAGCGAGGUGGUGGGUAACGCCCACCUGGGGAAACCCACGGGAAAGUGCCACAGAGAGCAGACCGCCCCUAUUUUGGGGUAAGGGUGAAAGGGUGGUGUAAGAGACCACCAGCGCCUUGGGCGACCAGGGCGGCUCGGCAAACCCCACCUGGAGCAAGGCCAAGAAGGUCCGCCUCGGCGGGCCGCGUCGGCGUUCGAGGGCUGCUCGCCCGAGCCGACGGGUAGGCCGCACGCCGCGAGGCGAAGGCCCGUGGCAACACGGGUCGCAGAUGGAUGGCCGCCCGCCCCACCGGGGCGACAGAAUCCGGCUUAUAGGCCGGCUCGUCCG
rnacentral:RNase_P_RNA from 1 species